UGAGCAACACAAAGAUAGCCUCGAAAGCAUCCACACUACCGGCUUGAGCAAAAGUAGUAGCUUCCUUGAUGAGGAACUCAGAAGUCAACCCAAACAAUCCUCCUUUCUUCACCUAAUGAGCCUCUAUCUCAGACUUCUUUAGGUGAAGAUCUUUAGCUAUAUGAUGAGAUCUGGGAAUCUCUUCCAAUCAACUAAUUGGAACUUUGUUAGAAGCAGGUAUUCC
rnacentral:lncRNA from 1 species